GAUGAACGCUGGCGGCGUGCCUAAUACAUGCAAGUCGAGCGAACGGACGAGAAGCUUGCUUCUCUGUUGUUAGCGGCGGACGGGUGAGUAACACGUGGAUAACCUACCUAUAAGACUGGGAUAACUUCGGGAAACCGGAGCUAAUACCGGAUAAUAUUUUGAACCGCAUGGUUCAAAAGUGAAAGACGGUCUUGCUGUCACUUAUAGAUGGAUCCGCGCUGCAUUAGCUAGUUGGUAAGGUAACGGCUUACCAAGGCAACGAUGCAUAGCCGACCUGAGAGGGUGAUCGGCCACACUGGAACUGAGACACGGUCCAGACUCCUACGGGAGGCAGCAGUAGUGAAUCUUCCGCAAUGGGCGAAAGCCUGACGGAGCAACGCCGCGUGAGUGAUGAAGGUCUUCGGAUCGUAAAACUCUGUUAUUAGGGAAGAACAUAUGUGUAAGUAACUGUGCACAUCUUGACGGUACCUAAUCAGAAAGCCACGGCUAACUACGUG
rnacentral:rRNA from 1 species